AGUGAACGCUGGCGGCGUGCUUAACACAUGCAAGUCGAACGAGAACGGGUUAUAGCUUGCUAUAAUUGUCAGCUAAGUGGCGCACGGGUGAGUAAUGUAUAGGUAAUAUGCCUCUUACUAAGGGAUAACAAAUGGAAACGUUUGCUAAUACCUUAUACUCCUUAUUAACAGAAGUUAAUAAGGGAAAGAUUUAUUGGUAAGAGAUUAGCCUGUAUUGUAUCAGUUAGUUGGUGGGGUAAUGGCCUACCAAGACUAUGACACAUAACUGGUUUGAGAGGAUGAUCAGUCACACUGGAACUGAGACACGGACCAGACUCCUACGGGAGGCAGCAGUGGGGAAUAUUGCACAAUGGACGAAAGUCUGAUGCAGCAACGCCGCGUGGAGGAUGACACAUUUCGGUGCGUAAACUCCUUUUAUAUGAGAAGAUAAUGACGGUAUUAUAUGAAUAAGCACCGGCUAACUCCGUGCCAGCCGCCGCUGUAA
rnacentral:rRNA from 1 species